UACGUAGGUGGCAAGCGUUGUCCGGAUUUACUGGGCGUAAAGGGCGUGCAGGCGGUCUGUUAAGUCUAGGGUGAAAGCUCCCGGCUCAACUGGGAGAGGUCCUUGGAUACUGGCGGACUUGAGGGAGGUAGAGGAAAGUGGAAUUCCCGGUGUAGUGGUGAAAUGCGUAGAUAUCGGGAGGAACACCAGUGGCGAAGGCGACUACCUGGCCUGUUCUUGACGCUGAGGCGCGAAAGCUAGGGGAGCAAACGGG
rnacentral:rRNA from 1 species